rnacentral:rRNA from 1 species
AAACAUGGCUCCUUGUUUANNGGUGCAUAAGGAGUCGGACCUGCCCGGUGAAGAUUUUUAACGGCCGCGGUACUCUGACCGUGCAAAGGUAGCAUAAUCAUUUGCCUUAUAAUUGAAGGCUAGUAUGAAUGGUUUGACAAGAGCGUAGCUGUCUCUUUAUGAUUCGCUAGAAUUUUAUUUUCAGGUGAAGAAGCCUGUAUAAUAUUAAAAGACAAGAAGACCCUAUCGAGCUUUAAAGAAAUUAAUAGAUUUAAACAAUCAAUUNUAUUUAAAAGAUUAACUAUUAAAGAUUUUAGUUGGGGCGACAGAGGAACAAAAAAAGCUUCCUUUAAANUUAUAAAAAUCAAACAAAUAUUGAUCCAAAAUAUUUUGAUUAAAGAAAUUAGUUACCGUAGGGAUAACAGCAUAAUCUUUUUCAAGAGUUCUUAUCGAAAAGAAGGUUUGUGACCUCGAUGUUGGACCAGAAUAUCCUAAAGAUGCAGUAGUCUUUAAGGG